CAUAUCGAUGAUGCACAUGACCAAAAAGACGAUCAUCUGAAAAGGUCAGAUUGGAAUUUGUCAGAAGAAAGAAGCGUCAGUUAAGUACACAAAGUGACCGCGCCAAAUGCUCCGACCACAAUCAUCUAAAGUAGUAAAAGAUACAUAAAGAUAAGUGAAACCAUAGCAACGACCGGGGUGGAGUGUUACCUAUACUGCCAAGCCAUGCAGUGUUUGGUAAAUAUAGCAAGUGUAUACAUGAGUCACAGGAGUAGAUUAACCACAACAAACAGCCUCCAUGUAAUAACAGUCAUACAAAGAAGAGAGAAUGAGGCAGCCUCUUUGGAAGCAUGAUAAAUUACUGGUCCAAAAAACAUACAUUCAUCAUCCGGAUGGGC